UUUCGGCCAAUGGAUUGAGUUACUUAGUGGCGGACUGGUGAGUAACGCGUGAGGAACCUGCCUUUCAGAGGGGGACAACAGUUGGAAACGACUGCUAAUACCGCAUGACACAUCGAAGGGGCAUCCCUUUGAUGUCAAAGAUUUUAUCGCUGAAAGAUGGCCUCGCGUCUGAUUAGCUAGUUGGUGAGGUAACGGCCCACCAAGGCGACGAUCAGUAGCCGGACUGAGAGGUUGACCGGCCACAUUGGGACUGAGAUACGGCCCAGACUCC
rnacentral:rRNA from 1 species